rnacentral:rRNA from 1 species
GACAGAGGAUGCAAGCGUUAUCCGGAAUGAUUGGGCGUAAAGCGUCUGUAGGUGGCUUUUCAAGUCCGCCGUCAAAUCCCAGGGCUCAACCCUGGACAGGCGGUGGAAACUACCAAGCUGGAGUACGGUAGGGGCAGAGGGAAUUUCCGGUGGAGCGGUGAAAUGCAUUGAGAUCGGAAAGAACACCAACGGCGAAGGCGGCUACCUGGACCAGCACUGACACUGAGGCACGAAAGCGUGGGGAGCAAACAGG